AUCCUGGCUCAGGAUGAACGCUAGCGGCAGGCUUAACACAUGCAAGUCGAGGGGCAGCAUGAGACGGAGAUUCGUCGAAGUCUUGAUGGCGACCGGCGCGAAGGGUGCGUAACGCGUGAGCAACUUGCCCGUUUCUGGGGAAUAACCGGGUGGAAACGCCGACUAAUACCCCAUAGUAUAGCGAAUAGGCAUCUAUUGUUAUUAAAGAAUUUCGGAAACGGAUAGGCUCGCGUGACAUUAGCUAGAUGCGGGGUAACAGCCCACCAUGGCGACGAUGUCUAGGGGUUCUGAGAGGAAGGUCCCCCACACUGGAACUGAGACACGGUCCAGACUCCUACGGGAGGCAGCAGUGAGGAAUAUUGGUCAAUGGGUCGGAAGACUGAACCAGCCAAGUAGCGUGAAGGAUGAAGGUUCUAUGGAUUGUAAACUUCUUUUAUACGGGAAUAAAACCUCCCACGUGUGGGAGCUUGUAUGUACCGUAUGAAUAAGCAUCGGCUAACUCCGUG
rnacentral:rRNA from 1 species